UACGUAGGGUGCGAGCGUUAAUCGGAAUUACUGGGCGUAAAGCGUGCGCAGGCGGCUUUGCAAGACAGAUGUGAAAUCCCCGGGCUCAACCUGGGAACUGCAUUUGUGACUGCAAGGCUAGAGUACGGCAGAGGGGGAUGGAAUUCCGCGUGUAGCAGUGAAAUGCGUAGAUAUGCGGAGGAACACCAAUGGCGAAGGCAAUCCCCUGGGCCUGUACUGACGCUCAUGCACGAAAGCGGGGGGAG
rnacentral:rRNA from 1 species